rnacentral:tRNA from 1 species
UAUAAAUUAGUGUAAAGGCACAUAAAGUUUUGAUCUUUAAAGAAUUGGUGCGAUUCCAUUGUUUGUAU